rnacentral:rRNA from 1 species
CCUACGGGUGGCAGCAGUGGGGAAUCUUGCGCAAUGGGCGAAAGCCUGACGCAGCGACGCCGCGUGAGGGAUGAAGGUCUUCGGAUCGUAAACCUCUGUCAGCAGGGCAGAACGGUCACUGUGCUAAUCAGCAGUGACUUGACGGUACCUGCAAAGGAAGCACCGGCUAACUCCGUGCCAGCAGCCGCGGUAAUACGGAGGGUGCGAGCGUUAAUCGGAAUUACUGGGCGUAAAGCGCUCGUAGGCGGUAUGUCAAGUCAAGGGUGAAAUCCCCGCGCUCAACGUGGGAACUGCCUUUGAAGCUGGCAAACUGGAGUGUGUGAGAGGAUAGUGGAAUUCCAGGUGUAGGAGUGAAAUCCGUAGAUAUCUGGAGGAACAUCAGUGGCGAAGGCGACUAUCUGGCACAUAACUGACGCUGAGGAGCGAAAGCGUGGGUAGCAAACAGGAUUAGAGACCCGUGUAGUC